UACAGAGGUCCCAAGCGUUGUUCGGAUUCAUUGGGCGUAAAGGGUGCGUAGGUGGCGCCGUAAGUCGGGUGUGAAAUUUCGGAGCUUAACUCCGAAACUGCAUUCGAUACUGCGGUGCUUGAGGACUGGAGAGGAGACUGGAAUUCAUGGUGUAGCAGUGAAAUGCGUAGAGAUCAUGAGGAAGACCAGUGGCGAAGGCGGGUCUCUGGGACGGUACUGACGCUGAGACGCGAAAGCGUGGGGAGCGAACAGG
rnacentral:rRNA from 1 species